UAUCUUUUUCUUUUAAUAUUAUAGGUAUUUUAAUGCUAUUAUAUUUGUAAACAUUUUAAUGACUGAGGAGCGGUCCCUUGAGCAGAUUCAUUAUUAUUACUGAUCCAUUGUUCUCCUGGUGGUGGGAGUUCAGAUCAUUUCCAGUAUCAGGUAUUGUUUAGACCUUUGCUUCCUUUGGAAGUUGGUUGAUAGGGCGGGUCCUGGGUGGGUCUGGGUUUGCAUCUCCUUCCUCCUUCUCCCAGCCUUUGAGAUGACCACGAGGGCUAGAGGGUGUUGUUGGCUCAGGCUGUUAGUACACAGUGUUGGAAAAACUCCCCAUUUCUUGGCCAGAAUGGAUGUCUUAGUCCCCCAGGGACCCUCACUUUAGUGCAGUGGAAGGAAUCUAUGCAUGCAUGGCAAAGAGGAAACCUGGCUUCCAGUCCUGGCUCUGCGAGUUGGCUGCUGUGUGACACUGGGUGUGUGUCCUCACCUCUGUGACCCCAGUUUUCCCUCAUUUGGGAGAAUGACUGACUAGUCUGUGGACCCUUCCAGCUCUUCUGCUCUUUAGAUUGAUCUCAUCUAUAACCUGCCUAGGGAUGAAGAGCUAUCAUGGUUCUCUCCUCUCAUUCUGAAUUGUCAGGCUAGCUUCUCUUCCUGGGGAUGUCCUGUGGCUCAGCUCAGGGGCUAAGAUCCCUCCCACCUCCCUGCCUUCUCCCAGGCUGUUUCUUUCCUCCACCUGCGUUGCCUUUCUGCCCAAUUCAAAGAUGAUGAUUGUGCAGGGCCCAGCUCAGGGGGCCCAUUUUCCUUUCCCUUCUCCUGUUCAGUACAAAAUGCAGCCCAGAUGUUCCCUCCUUGAAGAAUCUCCUCUAACUGUGUGGCCUGCUGCAACUCAGCGUCGUCCUGACCUCUGCAGUAGCACUUACCAUGCCCCAACUGAGGGUGAGUUCCUGGAGGCACACGCCACGCCCCCCUCAUCUACAGCAAGGUGCCUGGCACUCGGUGGGUGUCGUGACUGUGUUGAAUAAGGGAUCAAAGUGCACCACCCCGAGCGAGCUGGCUGUGCUCUGACGAGUCUGGAGCUGGAAGAAUAAGCACAAGCCACCCUUCCUCAAUUCAAAAACAGGAAAGCGACUUCUGGAGGUUUCUUUGUCUCCCUUGUGGAGCAGGAUACACAUUUUUAGUGCUGAGUGUUCCAAGCUGAAGAGCUUUACCUUCUUGGAGCUAUCCAUUUCCAGCACCUCUUUAAAUACUAAUGAGAGUCUCUCCCUGGGGGUAUCUGGCAGAUUCAGCUUCACUCUGAAUAAUUUCCAUCCUCUUUGUGCGGAGAGGCAGGUUUGCAGUGGGGGUGUUACCUGGAUGCUCUGAAGUCCUCUGAUCGACACUCAAAGGUGUCUCAUUUCACUACUUUCCACUUGCUUUCUUUGCAGGGCUGGCCCUCUCACUGUGACAAAAGGCUGCUCCUGGUGCACCUCCCUUCCAGGAAUGGAGGUAGAAAGAAAACCGAAUAGCAUUGACUCAUUUAAUCUCCAUGACCACCUUUUCAGGCAAUCCGCAGGGGUUUACCUACUGCAUUAUGGCUCUCAGCGGAGAGAAAGAAGAGCACUGGCUUUGAGUCCUGGCCCUGUCACUUUCCAACAGUGUGAUCCGGGAUAAGGUGGCAUCUCAGUGUCAGAAUAAUCGCUGUUGAUUUCAUCGCUCAUGUGUUUUAUAAAUUCAUGUGAAACUUCCCUCAGUUCUUUAACAAAUCCAUGAUCUGCGUUGGUCCUACCACCUCAGGGAGUUAUUGGAAAGACUCGCAUGGGGUGACGUAAGUGAAGAGACUUUGCAAAUGGCAAAAUAGUAUAUUCUCAUAAAUUCAUAUAGUCCCCGCCUGCCCCCUUCUGCCACCCCCACACCCCUGGGUCUUGCAGAGUCCAGGGUCUCCCACGGUGAGUGCGCGGUGAAGAUCCAUGAGUUGGCUUCCUGGUUCCUUGUCUAAAAACUGGGAAGAGGGCAGAAGAUGAAAGUGAAGUAUUAAUUCUUUUUUGUUGCUGUCAACUCGCAUCAUCGUUUCUUUCUAGGACAAACAGGAGUAAGUAUAACACAUAAAAUUUUCUUUAAAAUUUGCUUUGAGAAAAAAUAAUCCUGGAAUUUCCUUGUUUCUGAUAAGGAGUCAUUACUCAGGGUGUCAGGAGUUUGCCCUGUUCCUGCAGCCUGGGCCACAGGCGUGAAGCGGAGGUUGCUGCUGCUCCCUCACCCCCGCCCCUAUUCAGUAAUCCUGGCAGUGAGUCCCUGCGGGGAGCCCAGGACUGGCAGGUGUGGCUCACCCCACAUUUUGUCUGUUGUCUCCCCCCAGUAAGGCUCCUGUACCCUGAAAUCUUUUCAAGUACCCCUCAAGGGCAGGAUUCCUGCCCAGCACGGACCCUUCUCGAGCUUGGAUUUAAAUGCCAAAGCUAAAGCAAUCUCCUUUAAAGGAAUACUUUUCUGUUUGGAAACUCACCCCUCAGGAUAACUUUAUAGGGAAAAAAAUCCAUAAGGGAAAUUUUACUUAGUCAUUCUUUUUACAUGAAUAAUGGAGCAAGUAUACCCUUAAAAAUGUGCUGUUGGCAUUUCUGUUUGUUUUUCUAAGUGCAGUUAAUUAAACCCUGGUGAUUCCAGCGGGCUGUCUGGACAACAGAGAGUUAUCAUCUCCUCCAGAAAGUCUCCCCUGAUUGCCCAGGCAGUUAGGAGCUUCUUCCUUUCUGUCCUGCCACCCCCCAUAACCCGUGUGUUCUCUUCCCUCACAGGACCCAUUAUGUUAGUACUAUUAAUCUACUUGUCUGCUUCCUGUACUGAAUGCCAGCUGCCCGUGGGCAAGAAUUGUGGUUUUUAUCAUCUUCAGCCUCACUACCUAUAGGGUUCACUAAAUCCUCGCACCUGGACUUCCCUAUAGUGGGCUCCUGGCACAUCCCUGUCCCUGAACUCAGCUGAGCUCCAGGUGUCCUCCGCCCUCUGCCCUGGAGGCUCAGCUAUUCCCAGAUAGGUCCUCCCUGCCAUAGGCACAGUCUCUCCAGUCCCCAAAUCUAGCUAGGCCCAUGGCUGCUGAUUCCUUCUGGCCUUGCCCAGGCCCAACAGUAGGGUUGUCCAGGGACGAGAUCCCAGAACCCUGGCUAUGGGCUGCUGUUUGUCAGCCUGACUCCACAAAGAAACGGCAUCAAGCCGAGAAGGUGAUGAAUGGCUCCUGAAAGCAAAGGAAAUUGGGUUUUGGGACAAGUCAUUUAUUUCCCCCAAUCCCUCUGUCUCCACAGCCAUGAAUAAAUAAAUAAAUAAAACCCACUCAUUCUUUCAACCAAUUAAAGAAACAGCAAAAAGCUCAAGAGUAAUGUGGGAAAACAAAAUGUGUGUGGUUCCUCCCUGUAGAUACUCUGAGCAGGAAACACGAGUGUUGAUUCCUGAUGAGCUGUGACUCUCAGGGAUUGUCCGGGCAGUGAUAUCUGGUCUCCCAAAGUGUCCUAGUCACGGCCCUUCCCUGGAUAUAGACCUCUUCGCCUCAGAGGGCAGAACCUCAUCCACAGACCUUCUGGUUCUAUCCUCACUGCUACCCUGAGGGCCAGGCCACCCCCAUCCCCCUCCCAGACCACAGCAUCUGCCUUCUCAUGGGUCUCUCGCUUCCGCUUGUGACUCUCCCACCCGUCAUCCACUUGGCAGCCAGAGCGACCUUUUAAAAAAUAUAAAUUAGAUCACAUCACCCUCAGCCACACAUCCUGUGUUCUGCUCCUUGAUGGUGCAAGUUCUUUCUCACUCAAGAACUUUCUGCUCAUGUUCUUCCGCUCCCCUCUCUUCACUGGACUCACUUCUUUGCCUCCUCAGGCUUAGAGCCAAACAUUAAUUCUUUAGGGAGACAUUUUCUGCCUUUCCUGUCUAAGUGUUGUCCUUCCCAUUAUGUGCUCUCAUCGUACCCUCUGCUUUUCCUUCAUGGCAUGUAUUACAAUUUGUAAUUAUAUAUUCACUUGUUUGCUCUUUUAUUCUCUGACAUACUGUAAGCUCCAUGAGGACAGGGCAAUGUCUAUCUGGUUAAUAGUUAUAUGUCUAGUACCAUGCCUAGUACAUAGAGGUGCUCAUCAAAUAUUUGUUGAAAUGGAAGAAUCUGCGAUAACCUGCUUUCAAUGUGGUGACAUAAGAGGGCAGGAGCUGGAGCUUAUAUGCCAUGAGUGAAAGAGUUGAGAGAAAGCCCGGAUACAUACCUAUCUUUAUCUGCUAAUUUACAUAGGGCCAAGGACUGGGAAUAAGAUGUAAGUCCUAUCCACCUUGGAGUUUAGAUAUAAAGAAACAUGGUUGGUGGGGCUGGCCCCAUGGCCUUGUAGUUAAGUUUGGUGUGCUCUACUUUAGUGACCCAGGUUCAUUUCCUAGGCACGGACUUGUACCACUCACUGGCAGCCAUUUUGUGGUAGUGAGCCACAUACAAAAUAGAGGAAGAUUGGCACAGAUGUUAGCUCAGGGUGAAUCUCCCUCAAGCAAGAAGAGGAAGAUUGACAACAGAUGUUAACUCAGGGCAAAUUUUCCUCAGCAAAAAAAAAAAAGAAGAAGAAGAAAUAUGCUUGAUAGACAGGAAUCAAUUCCAUGGAGGCCAAAUCAGAAGCAGGAACAAUAGGAUUAGUGAGAAAGAAAUCACUCAAAGAUAGAGUUUCUCAACAUCAGCACUAUUGACAUUUUUCGGGUGGGUAAUUCUUUGAUGUGGAGGGUUUUUUUAUGCAUUACAGGAUGUUUUGUAGCAUCUCUGGCCUCUACCCACUUAAUUCUAUUAGCAGACCUCAUUUCCAGUUGUGACAACAAAAAAACGUCUUCAGAUGUGGCCAAAUGUACCCUGGGGAGGGGGUGCAAAGUUGCCCCAGUUGAGAACAACUGCCUCAAGAGAAGAAAUGACGCAGUGAACAGAUCCCAAGAAAGACCUGAAUUCCAGAAAGGAGAGCUGGUUCUGAGGCGUGGAGGUAGCUGCUGUCGGCACUCACCCUAUUCCAUCCACUCCGUUGGCUUGUGUAAAUCCUGGAAGACUGGAGUGCAGGCGUCCAGGAGAAGGAAGCAGUUCUCUGUAUCCUGACAUGGAAAGAUCUCUAAGACAUCUUGGAAAAGAAAAAAAAUCAUAUUCAGCAAUUCCACCCUAGGUGUGCACCCAGAAGAAAGGUGUGGACCCAUGCACCAAGAGAUACGCACAAGAAUGUUCAUAGCAACAUUAAAUAGCAGAAGAAAACGUUGUUUCCACCUAACUCAAAACUCCAGUGUGGAGCCAUCCACGCCAUGGUUGCGUCAUCUUCCAGGGUGAGAAUAUCCUGUAGGGAGUUGACAAACUGGCCCAUCCUCCCUGAGAGAAAGUUCUACCAGAAUCAGCAGUGGGGAGCCGUGUGUUGGAGGAGGUCAUCGAGAAGACGUGACUCCCAGUUGAACCGUGAGCUGGACCCAGGGCAAUCAAAGGCUGCUUACCCCUGUUUUUGGAAUAUGGAGUAUCAAGAACUAGAUUUAUCCUCCCACUUGAAACAACCGAAAAACUGGAUAAAAUAUGUGAAACAAUGGCUUUCAAGGUCUGAGAAUCAAAGAACAGUGAUCCCUGAGAGAUGGGAAACAAAUGAGGUUAGUUGACUCACUACCCCAACCAUCUACAACUAGAUUAAAAUACUUCUGCAUCGCUAUGGAAAAGAGAUCCCCACUGGAAAACAACAGCGUAUAAAUGAGCAGUCAUGCACUAUAAUCAGGACAACACGCAAAACAGUAAACAUAGAUGCAGCUUCUGGAAGCAAGAAAUACAUGACAGGAGGAGCGGGGAGGGAUGAUGAGAAUUAGUGGAGAGGAACCUACCGACAGCUGACUUCUAUGCGAGAAAGACAACAGCAAUAGCAAAAUACAAAAAUGAAGACAAAUAAUGGCCACACUGAAGUUCCUACAGGCCUUGUGUUGGGUUUUUAAUAUUCAUCUUUAUUCAUUUUAGGCUGAAUGUACACAUGAGGCAUUCUGUAUCAGAGACACGUUCCUGAUUAAAUGCUACACAGUAAAUAAGUGUGCUGGCGUCCUCUUUGCCCUCGUCCUGGCCCUUGAGAUGAGAA